GGGGCUAUAGCUCAGCUGGGAGAGCGCCUGCUUUGCACGCAGGAGGUCAGCGGUUCGAUCCCGCUUAGCUCCA
rfam:Oceanimonas sp. GK1, complete genome.